GUAAAAACUGGUUUUAAUGUGACCCAUUAUCCAUGAUUUGCCUUCAUCGGCAGAUGCAGAUCAGCCACAUGUCACGGAGAUGGUUCAGCUGUCACCACUUGGCCCAGUGGGUCUCGGUAUCACCUUCUGUAAUGAAAGCACACACUUCCCAAACUUCUAAAUGAGAACCGGGAUCUGCCAAGAAAACCAUCGACAUCCAUCCCUCCCUCGACUCUCCGACGGGGAAGCAGGAAGAUGCUAAUUUCUGGGUUAUUCCUUCAAAAAUGCAUCAUCCCUGCAUAGCGAAACAAGUCAUCUUGCAAGUCAGUAUUCACAGCAAAUCAUCCAAUAGAUACUGAGAU